CCCGCAGCUCCCCAUGCAGCCAGCCCCGGGCAGCCCCUGCGCGAACCUGCCGGACCACGUCCCCCGGCGUCAGGCUCAGCUCGUCCUGCGUCUGCGCACGGAAGGAAGCCAAAGUCCUUGCUCCUUGCACUACAGGGAAGUUUGGUUCUUGGCUAUUAAAAGCAGAGAAUGCAGGGACUCCACUGAGAACAAGCGCAUCUCCCCGGGAAAGAAGAGCAGACUGUAGGUUUCCUGAAACUCGUGUGGGAGGUCCCUACCACCCCAGGGCGGCUCAUGCAGGCGUGAGGACGACAACGAACACAGUCCAUCCACAUCGGUCACUUCGUUUAUUGUUUUUAUUUGCAGGAGGAGUUGAAACAAAAACUUAAGGGUGUUUUUCUUUUCUUCCCUAAACAUGAAUCAUUCAAGUAAAACCAACUUAACUAUAGAAAUUAGCAAAGUAAGGGGAAGUAGUAACAACCCACGAGCAAAGGCUGGGGGAAGAGGAGUCGCAGUCGGCAUAGACCCCGUGCACAGAGACCAUAUGCACAGAGACCACGUGCACAGAGACCACGUGCACAGAGACCACGUGCACACAGACCGUAUGCUGUGUUCACCUGCUCGGGACCGCCUCCCCGGAAGGCAAGCACAAGGACCCUUUUAUGAGGAUGUUCCCCCCCAAACAUCUGAAAGUGUUUCAACUCAAAACUUAAGGUUAAAACAAACAAACAAACCAAAAACACACAACCCCACAAACCACCCAGCCAUAACCACCAUCCUUAAUCGAUCAUAGGAGUUUCUUUUCAUUUUAUAAAAAGAUCAAUAAAAAAUAUUGAAAAAAUUCUUUUCUCAUCUUAUAUUUGUAAAGAUAAUAGAAUUCAGAAGUUUCUUAGAAAACAGACCAGAAACUGCCCUCCAGUUCCCUCCCUUUGCUGAGGACCAGCAGGACUACAAAGUGGAGGAUAGUGGCUGCUGGUGGACAAUGGGAGCCCAGCCCAGGAGAAACCAGACAAGAGCAGGGUGCAAGGGGAGGCUGGGAGCAACUCCACGUGACACACGGCUGUGCAGAAGGGGACGCAGGGUGGUCAGAAAGGCCUUAAACUCCUCCGUGACAUACAAAACCGGUUUCUACAAAGAUCCAAGCAGUUUGGUCCCAAACUGAGGCAAACACUUCAAUGUUUAUUCACAUGCUUUGUUUUCUCUUAAGAAUCAAAGUUGCCCAAAUUAAAUCUUUCUGCUAAUAUCACUACAUAUGCCUUAAAAAGAAAGAAAAAAAAAAGGAAAGAAAAAAUAUAAAGGAUUUU